AAUCUGGAUGGAUGGGCAGUUCGCGGUGGUUCCUGUCUACCAGCACUGCAAGCUGGAUGGUUCUGGGCCGUCCAAAUUCC
rnacentral:tRNA from 1 species